rnacentral:rRNA from 1 species
UACGUAGGCAGCGAGCGUUGUUCGGAGUUACUGGGCGUAAAGGGUGCGUAGGCUGUGCAGUAAGUUGGGUGUGAAACCCCUCGGCUCAACCGAGGAACUGCGCCGAAUACUGCUGUGCUAGAGGAAGAUAGGGGUAAGCGGAACUGAUGGUGGAGCGGUGAAAUGCGUUGAUAUCAUCAGGAACACCGGUGGCGAAGGCGGCUUACUGGAUCUUUUCUGACGCUGAUGCACGAAAGCUAGGGGAGCGAACGGG